rnacentral:rRNA from 1 species
GUGGGGAAUAUUGGACAAUGGGGGAAACCCUGACCCAGCAACGCCGCGUGAGGGAAGAAGGUUUUCGGAUUGUAAACCUCUGUCCUUGGUGACGAAGGAAGUGACGGUAGCCAAGGAGGAAGCCCCGGCUAACUACGUGCCAGCAGCCGCGGUAAUACGUAGGGGGCAAGCGUUGUCCGGAAUGACUGGGCGUAAAGGGCGUGUAGGCGGCCGAUUAAGUCUGGAGUGAAAGUCCUGCUUUCAAGGUGGGAAUUGCUUUGGAGACUGGUUGGCUUGAGUGCGGAGGUGGUAAGGGGAAUUCCCAGUGUAGCGGUGAAAUGCGUAGAGAUUGGGAGGAACACCAGUGGCGAAGGCGACUUACUGGGCCGUAACUGACGCUGAGGCGCGAAAGCGUGGGGAGCGAACAGGAUUAGAAACCCCAGUAGUCC